UUGUGCAACUGGUGUCAGCGCGUUUUCAAACUUCUAAGUUUCUCAUGCACAUGUGCACGUCGUGACAACCAGUGUGCGGCGUUUUGAAGUACAGCGUGGGAACUGUGGUGUCGUUCCAUGGGCGAGUCCGGCAACAGCAGCGGCAGUGAGGAGCACUUCAGUUCAGCCGAAGAUGACAUGGCUUGGAGUGAGAAGAAUGAUGGCAGCUCAAGUGACUUGCACCUUGCUCAAGGGAGACCCACGCCGUGGUGGGGUGCUGCGGUGCCUGGUGCUGCCGCUGAAUGUGGAGAGAAAACUCGUCACUGUACACCUCUCCGCUCUGCCUUUCACGCUGCCUCGAAAACCCGCUGCUUUGCUCGCACGCUGCAUGCGUUCUGCAUGUGUUUUUGCUGGUUUCAUGGCUUGCGAGGCGUUCUAAGAAGGUCCGCAUGACUGAGGACUCCUUUCGCAGCUUCAGUGUGGUGAAGGAGCAGUGUCUACUCAGCCUUGUAAGAGAUGCGGAGUAGGUAAUAGCAGACAACAUCAUCCUGUUCUGCGCGAAGGGCCAUUUGUGGUGCAACUGAGAACGAGGGAAAAAAAACGAGAAGACAGGAUAGGGUGCCCAAUUCACUAAAUUUGCCCCAAGAAACAGGAAUGUGCUGUUUCCCACAACAUAUAUCUGCUACAAGUCCGUGGCGCCUCUGUUGGUUGCCACGCAUUUCCAUCGGCACUGCGUAAGUAGACAAACUAUAUCACUGCACAACACAAAUAGGACAUGUGUACACGCCUUUCGCUAUACAUCCUCUAUAAUAUAGAAUAGUGGCAGUAGCGUAAAUGCAGGGUGGCAUGGAGUCAACUGACAUAUUUCAAGUAGGGAAUUUUAAAGGGACACUAAAGAGAAACAAUGAAUUGGUUUAGAUUGAUAAAGUGUGCUAAAGCUGCUCUUGUGUAGCUUAUUUCACCACCAUAGGUUUAUUAUUAGAGGAGAAAACCAAGUUCAAUGUUUCAUUUUUAAAUUUCGCGCCGAUCUUUGUAAUUCGUGACGUAAAAGACUUCAAAGAGCAUUCAACGUAUUUUGGCGCCACUGGCUCGACGAAAUUUCCACAAACUCGUUCUGUCAAGUCUCUUGCCCCCUCAGAAGACAAUGUACUUCG